GAUGUUUGGUUAAAAAUACUUAAAUGUUAUAUUUAUAUAAGUGAAUUGUUUUGUGUCAUUAAAGGGUGAAAUCAAUUUUUUGUUGAAUAAAUAAAUUUGUUUAAUAUAAUUUAAUUGAGGUUGUUAAAAUUAAGGUAUGAACCAGGAUUAGAGACCCUGUUACACUUAAUUUUAAGUUCGAAUACCUGGGUAGUAAACAGUUAUAGUCUUGAAACUUAAAGGAUUUGGCGGUAAUUUAGUCUAGUUAGAGGAACCUGUCCUGUAAUCGAUAGUCCACGAAAAAUCUUACUUUACUUUGAAUAACUCAGUUUAUAUACCGUCAUUAUUAGGUAACUUUAAUAAAAGUAGAAGUUGCUGUAAUAGUUUUUAAUUAAUAUAUUAGAUCAAGGUGUAGCCUAUGGUAAAGUAGAGAUGGGUUACAAUAAUAUUGGUUUAAUAAAACGAAUCUAAAAUAGAAAAGUUUUAGUGAAGGAGGAUUUAAAUGUAAAAAUAUUUUAAUAUGAUAUUUUGAUUGUAGCUCUAGGUUAUGUACACAUCGCCCGUCGCUCU
rnacentral:rRNA from 1 species